rnacentral:rRNA from 1 species
GGGUCAGUAGGUUGGUCGUGCCACCGGUACGUACUGGUCUCACUGAUUCCUCCUUCCUGAAGAACCGUAAUGCCAUUAAUUUGGUGUUGCGGGGAAACAGGACUGUUACUUUGAAAAAAUUAGAGUGUUUAAAGUAAGCUAACGCUUGAAUAAAUUAGCAUGGAAUAAUGAAAUAGGACGAUCGAUCCUAUUUUGUUGGUUUCUAGGAUUGACGUA